rnacentral:rRNA from 1 species
AGUUAAUGUAACAAAUGCAAUCACCUAAAGGUUUGUAAACCCUUUUUAUGCAGGAAUUAGCAGUAAUCAUUGGUUAGUUAUGUUUUGGUGAACCUUAAAUAAACAAUGCACAUACUGCCCGUCAAGCAAUCGAAACAGUAGAGUUCCUGGAGUGCAGCAGUUAAAAUAUCUUAUACUAUCUUUUAGCUUAGGUUCAACUACAACCACUCAACUCUAAGGUUUAACUCAUUUCACGAUUGUUAAGUCGUAACACGGUCUCUGUAGCGGAAGCUGCAGAGGGACUAU